GCUUGUCUCAAAGAUUAAGCCAUGCAUGUCUUAGUGUAAAUAACUCUUAUGAAACUGCGAAUGGCUCAUUAAAUCAGUUAUCGUUUAUUUGAUGGUCCCUUACUACAUGGAUAACCGUAGUAAUUCUAGAGCUAAUACAUGCACAAAGGCCCGACUCACGAAGGGCUGUAUUUAUUAGAUGGAAACCAAUGCGGGGCAACCCGGUAUAUGGUGAUUCAUAAUAACUUUCGGAUCGAUCUUCGGAUCGAUGCAUCAUUCAAGUUUCUGCCCUAUCAGCUUUGGAUGGUAGGGUAUUGGCCUACCAUGGCUUUAACGGGUAACGGAGAAUUAGGGUUCGAUUCCGGAGAGGGAGCCUGAGAAACGGCUACCACAUCCAAGGAAGGCAGCAGG
rnacentral:rRNA from 1 species